rnacentral:lncRNA from 1 species
CCUCUGUCCCUCACUUCCUCUUUCUGUUCAUAAACAUUCUUCCACGACGUGCUGUGCUGGAAUCCCUGAGCCUGCUCUGGCCUGGGAGGCUGCCUGAUUUUACACAAAGAACUCUUGAAUCCCCUUUUAUCAUUUUCUGAACCAUUUGAGAGCAAGCUGCAAUCAUAAGAUCCAGCACCUCUAAACACUCCAGAAUAUAUUUUUAGAUAUAACCCUGUAAUGGCUGAAAAGUGUUCCCCCCAAAUUCACAUCCUCCUGAAACCUCAGAAUGUGACCUUAUUUUGAAAUAGGGUCAUUACAGAUGUAAUGAAGGAUCUCCAAUUGAAUCCGUCCAAGGAUUAAGGUGGGCCCUGAAUCCCAUAGACUGGUGUCCUCAUAAGAAAAGGUGAGGACAAAGAGAGACACAGAGACACACAGAUAGCUAUGUGAAGAUGGAAGCAGAGGUUGGGGAUCUGCUGCCACAAACAAAGGCACCCCAAGUAUUGCCAGCAACCACCAGAAGCAAGGAGAAAGGCAUGGGACGCUUUCUCCAUCAGAGUCUCCGGAAGGAACCAAGCUUACUGACACCUUGAUUUUGGACUUCUAGCCCCCAGAACUUCAAGAUAAUACAUUUCUGUUGUUUAAAGCCAUGUGGUUUGUGGUAAUUUGUUAUGACAGUGCUAGAAAACUUAUACAAACCCUCCAAGGCAGAAAUAAACAUGGGCACAACACUGCUACCCAAUCCACAGAUCCCAUUCAAAUUUUGCUGGCUCAGCCCAUCAUGUCUCUUUUCCCUUUCAGGUCCAGGAUCCAGUCCAGGAGCAUGCAUUACAUUUAGUUGUCACAUGUCCGAAUAGAAGGAAGGAGAUUCCCUUCAAUAUGGAAUAAUUUCUUAGUCUUUCCCUGUCUUCCACAUCCUUCCGUUUUUUGUUUUUGUUUUUAUUUUGAGACAGUCUCACUCUGUCACCCAGGCUGGAGUACAGUGGGGUGAUCAUGGCUCACUAUAGCCUUGACUUCUCCAGGCUCAGGUGAUCCUCCUACCUCAGCCUCCUGAGUAUCUGGGACUACAGGCGUGUGCCACCACACUCGGCUAAUUUUUGCUUUUUUUUGUAGAACAGAGUUUCAAGUUGCUCAGGCUGGUCUCAAACUCCUGGGCUCAAGUGAUCCACCCACCUUGGCCUCCCAAAGUGCUGGGAUUACAGGCACGACCCACUGCAACUGGCCCCACAUCCUUCAGUUUUUAAGAGUGCAGGCCUUUUGUUAUGUAGGAUGGCCCUAGACCUGGUUCCAUCUAAUAUUUCAUUUUGGUCAGACCUCGCCAUGAUUUCUUGACAGGAAAAUGAUGGACAGGAUCCUGGGCUCUGCACAUUACAGCAUAUGAUGUGGUCUUGUCUCAUCACUGGUGAUGUUAAUCUUGAUUGCUUGGUCAUGUUGGUGUCUUCCAUAUUUCUCCUCCAUUGAGUCACCAUUUUCACCUUUGCAAUUGAUAAGCAUUUUGUGGGGAGAUUUUCUAAAAUUAUGCUAAAAUCCUGAUCCUUAACAACUUCUACCCAUCAGCCUUAAUAUUUGUGGAUGAUCCCUAUCUGAAUAAAUUAUAACCAUAAUAGUGUCAUAUGGUGGUUUGCUAUUUUCAUCAUUCCUUCUACAUUAAUUACUUGGUAUUCUACUGUAAGAAAGAA